AAGCUUGUACUCGGGUCUGGGAGGAGUAGGAAUAGAAACAAGCUCUAUAGCAACAAAAAUAUGAGGGAUGCUAAAAUCCUUCUUUGGAGUAGGGGGCUCAUCAGCUGCUAUUUUCUCAAUCUCCUCAUCUUUCUCCUCCGCAUCCUGCAGCUUUGAAAAAGACUGAUGUUGUGCACGCCUGUCCGAUUCUUCGAGCAGUCUUUCUA
rnacentral:lncRNA from 1 species